AGCUGGUGAAUUCUGGUGUGAGUUGGAAUAGCUUAUAGACCAAGAGUCGAAAUUCCAACUUAAACUCAAGCCACAACUUGUUUAAGCUGCAUUAAAAUUUUGAUCAUCAAGAUGUACUACUACCCCAGAAAAAUCAACCAAAGUGUUUACAUGCAGAGUCAUUAAAUUUGUGUACCAAAGUGUUUAAAUUUAUUGGUUUGGUGGACAUCCUUGGAUCUUAUAAUACUCUGGUUCAAAACCAGCAUACAGAAGAACAAGAAAAAGUUACAACUUAUAAGUACACCCCAAUCUUUAGACUAGGUUUGGUUUGAAUAUAAUCAUAAACUCUUUUAGUGCGUAACUGCGCUUUCUUUGUAUUAAAAGUAUUUGGAAAAACUGCAAAAAAUUAUCAAUCCAUGAUUGGUGAUUGAUUAGAAGUAGUGUUUUGAUCCGAUGGUAGAAGGCAGAAAACUUGUGUAGCACAGUCACAAAAUUUAUCUUUGCAGAGUGGUAUACAUAAUACAUGUGUCUAAGGUGCCAAAACAGACAUCAACUGAUUAGACAGAUUAUGUUAAAUGAUUAUAAAUGUACGUCUAAUAUCAAGUCAUCAAGAUAGAACUCUGCAUAUCUCUUAUAUUAUAAGCUUAUAUACAUCUCUUAUCUCUUAUAUAUAUUAUAAGCUUAUAUACACAAGCAAAUCCUAAACCUAAUUUGUU
rnacentral:lncRNA from 1 species